GUUUCUGUAAGGCACCAUGAUGUAGAAAGUGAUUAUUAGUUUCUGGUGUGACUCAUUCCAAUAUCCUCCAUGACAAUCUUUCUUGUCUGCUAAAUUAACAGAUGGGUGCUGGAAUCACAAAUAUUCUGCAGCUAGCUUCCAAAGGGAAGUGAUUCUAGCUUAGACAGUUGUGAACAUUGAGAAGAGGCCUUUAGGAUCAUCAGGCCCCAUGAACUGUGGCUUUUUUUUCCCUAUUCUUCUCAUCGGUGCAAUGCAAAAGUUGCAGUGAAAAUCUCUGGCCUGCAGGGAUGCAGACAACAGUCACCUGUGGGCCCAGGGACUGACCAGAGAGGUGCAGACACAGCUUGACUAACGAGCACCAAUUAAAAAUCUGACCUGGUGCAACCUAGCACAGGGAGGAAGGGUGGAAAUUACAGGUGAGGAGCAAAAGGAAAGAAAGCUUUUGAACCCAGGGGCUGUGUUCCAGUGGGCACAAAGGAGUGGUGGAAUGUGGCUGAUGCUUACCUGUCCUCUCCGAGACAGAGUGAUCCUGAGGGUCACACCAGUGCCCUGGCUGCUCAUCUGGUAAGCAGUUUGUAAGGUAGAUGCUCAUCUGCAAGCAGAUGUUCUGACAGUUGGCGUGCUGUCCAUGAACAGAAUGUUAUACACUCUGUAGAAACAUUCACCAGUGAAAAGCUGCAACCAAGGGAAAUUGGAAGGGAUUCAGUCUGGGGCAGUGAGUGUAUUUUACAGGCAAGGAAGCUUCUUGUGGAGGAGGUGGCUCGAAAAGAGGCUGUUUAGCACAGAGAAGAGGGCUUUUAAAGAAAGAACUGAGUGAGGAGGCAUGAAGUCAUAAGAAGAUUCACCAAUAUUUUCUAUUUCCUUAAUUUCAAAAAACAGGGAGAUGCUUGGUGGAACAGGAAGCUGAUGAAUAAAAAGAGAACUGAAAUGGAUUUUCUCUGCUAA
rnacentral:lncRNA from 1 species